rnacentral:rRNA from 1 species
AGAGUUUGAUCCUGGCUCAGAAUGAACGUUGGCGGCGUGGAUUAGGCAUGCAAGUCGAGCGAGAAGCCUCCUUCGGGAGGUGGACAGCGGCAAACGGGAUAGUAAGGCAUCGGUAACGCACCCCCAGGACCGGGAUAGCCGAGGGAAACUUCGGGUAAUACCGGAUAAUAUCUCCGGAUCAAAUGGUGAGAUUCCGCCUGGGGACCGGCUGAUGUGAUACCAGCUAGUUGGUAAGGUAACGGCUUACCAAGGCUUAGACGUCUAGGGGGUGUGAGAGCAUGGCCCCCAUCACUGGGACUGAGACACUGCCCAGACACCUACGGGUGGCUGCAGUCGAGAAUCUUCGGCAAUGGGCGAAAGCCUGACCGAGCGACGCCGCGUGCGGGAUGACGGCCCUUGGGUUGUAAACCGCUGUCAGAGGGGAUGAAAUUCCUGGGAGCUAUCUCCCAGGAUUGACAAAGCCUCAGA